CAGGCUGCCCAUGUUUAUUGGAUCUAGUGAGGUAAAUUUGCGGAAACAAGUUCUUCACCAGUGGAUCACUAGUCCAGCAAACCAAGCUGAUUGGAAGAGCACUCUCUAUCAAGGAAGCGAGACAAAGGGGGAAGGGGCUGGUUGUAGCACAUCAAUGGGGAAAAGGACAUAGAGGAAGCAUCGGAAGGGGGGCAAGAAAUGCAAAAAUGGCGCAUGGACGGCGUUUUUUUCCUCUCUUUUUUCAAGGAUGACAUGUAACAAAAGGCAUUACUAUUGUGUUUCAUGUCAGUCACUUUUUUUUAAUGCGUCUUUAGCUAAAGAAAUUGUAUGAUGUGUGCCCCUUGCCAGAACUACAAUGUUACAAUGUUACACCCAUUAAGUUCAAACCUCAAGAGUUGUGCA